ACGCACGCUGGCGGCAUGCCUAACCCCUGCAAGUCGCACGAGACCUUCGGGUCUAGUGGCGCACGGGUGCGUAACGCGUGGGAACCUGCCCUUAGGUUCUGAAUAACUCCCCGAAAGGGGUGCUAAUACCGGAUAAUGUCUUCGGACCAAAGAUUUAUCGCCUUUGGAUGGGCCCGCGUUGGAUUAGCUAGUUGGUAGGGUAAAAGCCUACCAAGGCGACGAUCCAUAGCUGGUCUGAGAGGAUGAUCAGCCACACUGGGACUGAGACACGGCCCAGACUCCUACGGGAGGCAGCAGUGGGGAAUAUUGGACAACGGGCGAAAGCCUGAUCCAGCAAUGCCGCGUGAGUGAUGAAGGCCUUAGGGUUGUAAAGCUCUUUUACCCGGGAUGAUAAUGACAGUACCGGGAGAAUAAGCUCCGGCUAACUCCGUG
rnacentral:rRNA from 1 species